AGGCAGCACUUUUACUUGAACAGGUUUGUGAAGCAAUUUUUCCUUUCAGUAUAUUUAUUCAUGCUAUUCAAAUUGCCAUAUUUGAUGUGAUUUUCUAUUUAAACUCUUUUAUAACAUUAUUUCUGCAAAAAAUGGUCAGAUGCAAUAAAAAAUUUUCUAUUUAAUUGCCCUAGUACUUUCUAUAUGUAAUUUUACUUUGAAGUCUUUCCCUGAGCCAAGUUUGAGAUGGUGAUGGUGUCUUAGAUUAUUACAAACACUAAAUAUUAACAAUACAGAUAUUUUACUCAUGGUCACUAAACUCAUCACUAAAUUUCAAUGUAGUCAUUGAUUUGCCAUUUGUAUCAACAACUUUACCCAACUUUGAUUUUACUAAUUUCAAGACACCAAGCUUUGCAAUAUUAUAGACAAUCAGCAAAACAUUUUAUGUGACGACUGAGUAUGACAAUCCUAUAGCCUAUAAAACAUUAGGAAUUUUUACUUUCUUGUUAGGUAAAAAAUAUGGUUGUUUGUCAAAAUCUAAAAGCUGACUUUAUUGAGACAAAAGUUAAAUUUUGGUGAUUUUGUUAAUACUUAUCGAAGUUGACUGUUCCGAAAUUCAGCAUUGAUGGAAGUUUGUCAGAUAUAGAUGAUUCAUGUAGUACAACUCAUAACCAACAUAAAAUAGAGGGGUGCAAAUGUGAGCACGUACAUAUCUUUGAAUAAAGAUAUCUUCAAGAUUGUUCAUAAGAAUUUUGUCUUUGCUGGGUUAUUAAAGCAUCUUAGAAAACUUUGUUAAAAUUAUCUACAGGAAAAGUCUGAUGUGGCAG
rnacentral:misc_RNA from 1 species